rnacentral:misc_RNA from 1 species
AGUGGACUACUAAUAUAUAUAUACAUUUUUUACUAUGUACCAGUGGAUCUAGUGCAAUACUGCAAUUGUAAUGUGUACCAAAAAGAUGGCUUACUAUUAUAAUUUUCAAUGAGAACCCAGUUGAUAAAAACAGCUUGCAAUGCAGCCAAUUAUCCUUUUGUCACUUCUUUGUCUAACUUUCUGUUUUGCUAGGAUGUGAUUUGCUGCUGAACAUG